rnacentral:rRNA from 1 species
AGUGAACGCUGGCGGUAGGCCUAACACAUGCAAGUCGAACGGCGGCACAGUAAGAGCUUGCUCUUACGGGUGGCGAGUGGCGGACGGGUGAGGAAUACAUCGGAAUCUACUUUUUCGUGGGGGAUAACGUAGGGAAACUUACGCUAAUACCGCAUACGACCUACGGGUGAAAGCAGGGGAUCUUCGGACCUUGCGCGAUUGAAUGAGCCGAUGUCGGAUUAGCUAGUUGGCGGGGUAAAGGCCCACCAAGGCGACGAUCCGUAGCUGGUCUGAGAGGAUGAUCAGCCACACUGGAACUGAGACACGGUCCAGACUCCUACGGGAGGCAGCAGUGGGGAAUAUUGGACAAUGGGCGCAAGCCUGAUCCAGCCAUACCGCGUCGGUGAAGAAGGCCUUCGGGUUGUAAAGCCCUUUUGUUGGGAAAGAAAAGCAGCAGGUUAAUACCCCGCUGUUCUGACGGUACCCAAAGAAUAAGCACCGGCUAACUUCGUG